rnacentral:rRNA from 1 species
CCUACGGGAGGCAGCAGUAGGGAAUAUUGCUCAAUGGGGGAAACCCUGAAGCAGCAACGCCGCGUGGAGGAUGACGGUUUUCGGAUUGUUAACUUCUUUUUUUAGAGAAGUUAAUGACGGUAUCUAACGAAUAAGCACCGUCUAACUCCGUGCCAGCAGCCGCGGUAAUACGGAGGGUGCAAGCGUUACUCGGAAUCACUGGGCGUAAAGAGCGCGUAGGCGGGAUAGCAAGUCAGAUGUGAAAUUCUAUGGCUUAACCAUAGAACUGCAUUUGAAACUGUUAUUCUAGAGUAUGGGAGAGGUAGGUGGAAUUCUUGGUGUAGGGGUAAAAUCCGUAGAGAUCAAGAGGAAUACUCAUUGCGAAGGCGACCUGCUAGAACAUAACUGACACUGAUGCGCGAAAGCGUGGGGAGCAAACAGGAUUAGAUACCCUAGUAGUC